UACGGAGGAUGCAAGCGUUAUCCGGAUUCAUUGGGUUUAAAGGGUGCGUAGGCGGCUUUUUAAGUCAGUGGUGAAAUCUUGCCGCUUAACGGUAAAAUUGCCAUUGAUACUGAAAAGCUUGAGUACAUUUGAGGUAAGCGGAAUGUGUAGUGUAGCGGUGAAAUGCUUAGAUAUUACACAGAACACCGAUUGCGAAGGCAGCUUACUAAACUGUUACUGACGCUGAUGCACGAAAGCGUGGGGAGCGAACAGG
rnacentral:rRNA from 1 species